rnacentral:lncRNA from 1 species
UCUAUUAAAAAAAAAAAAGAAAACGUCAUUGGGUCUGGUGCUUCGGAAAAUUGGGAUCUGAAUAAUUUUUUAUUUUAUCUGUCACCUAUCAACUUCCCCAUCACAGGACAUACUGCAGAGAUGUGAUGGUCCAGCAGAAGCGCAGCCUUCCCCUUAUGCAUUCACAUGCUGGAGCUGGAAAAAAGCUGGAGGAAUCCAACCCAUUCAAGUUAUGAGGAAGAACCAACUCUUUUCAGUCCACCCAGCUGGUGAGAAGCAGGUGAUACCACUGGUGGAUGCAUGGCUGGAUGAAAACUCUAGAAACCAACAACCUCAGUGACUGAAGGAAGAUGAGUUGGACAAGAAAAAGUGAAAGAGGAGCAGCUAUGGUUCCCGCUGGAAGGAAACGGAAGACUUCAGUUCUCUGGAGGGAGCUUCUCCCGCAGCAUACAGGUUCUUGCUGGAACCCUGUUGCAUUUCCUCUGUAGGACACACAGGUUUAUCUAAGCUGUGAAAGCAACACAGAGAUAAGACCCAUGGUGUUUUCCUUGUUAGAAAAAAGCUGUCUACUUCCUGUCUGGAGAAACCAGGGACACUUGAUUUUGAAGGGACUUCAGCAAUGUAAGCACAAAAUCAGCCCCUUCUCUUUAAUUUAAAUUCCACCCUUCUCUUGGGUGACGGCUGUUUCUAAGUUAUUUAAAGAUUUAGAAAGUAGCUAGAAGGUCACUGGGUUUGUGGCGGCAUUGGCUUUUAAGCUUGUGCAAUAAAACCACAUUCGGCUUGUUCCCUAAGGUGAGGGCAGAAAUGACUGGACGGAAUGCCCACCUGCCCAUACAGUUUGAAGAGAACAGUCCAAGUUCUCAAAUAGUUCGAAACCUUUUAAGAAAUCAGAAAUAGUAGGAAACAUUGCAUCUGAAGUCACAGAAUAUGUUAAUAUUAACCCGUGUGGCUGGAAUAAAUGUGCAAGCUGAUGUGUUAAUCUCUGACGUAUUUGGAGAUAUUUCCUUUAUGUAAAUAAUUUAAACUGUCCACAAGAUAACUUCAUUUUCUACAGAGUCCGAUUUGAUUUUAACAUUUUUUGAAGAUCAUGGGAGUUUAUCAUUUUGUUUUUGGUUUCAUUCAAUGGUAGCAAUCUGAGAUAGUCACCUGCCCAUCCCAGGUCCAGUUGUGUAACUUUUAACAAGUUAUUAAACAUCCUCAUGCCUCAGUUUCUUCAUUUAUAAAG